rnacentral:tRNA from 1 species
CCUGAUAGCUCAGUUGGUAAAGAAUCUGCCUCUAAUGCAGGAGACCCCAGGUUGAUUCCUGGAUCAGGA